GGGCUCUUCGUCUAGUGGUUAGGACAUCGGGUUUUCAUCCCGGAAACAGGAGUUCAAUUCUCCUAGAGCCUACCA
rnacentral:tRNA from 1 species